CAGCAUCUUCGAUGCCAAGGCCGGGAUUGCUCUGAACGACAACUUUGUCAAGCUUGUCUCCUGGUACGACAACGAGUGGGGAUACAGGUCAGUGGCACCUUCUAUGGCUCUUGCAGUUAAGAUUAUACUUAUAUGCAGAAAUCAACUUGCUGAAUCCUCAAAUUUCUCUGCUUGCAGCACCCGCGUGGUCGACCUCAUCCGUCACAUGCACAGCACCAAGUAAAUGAGAGGCAUGAAGAUACAGGGGAGAGUGGUUUGCCCCAGAGGAGUGUUCAAAGCCUCUUCUUCUGAGAAUAAAUUUUUGUAUGGAAUUAUGUCAGCUAAAAACCUUUUAUUGGAUGUAUCCUGAUGGUUGGUCACAUUUUGGUGGUAUUAUGUACUUGCUUGAACUAAAUCAUGAGUCAUUUUCACUCAUCUUCUUUGGUUAUCCAUCACAUGUCAUUUCGUUCUCUUGCGAUUGGAAAGUUAUCUAUGGUUAUGUUGUCUUUCCACGCGUUUGCUGAAGGAAUU
rnacentral:lncRNA from 1 species